AGAAAGAGAAGGGGAACUCCCCCUUGUUGUCUCGUGCAUCAAGCAUGUGACUGCUUUUUUUAUACCACAAUAACUGAAGCCGUCUUCAAGUUCUCCUCUCUCUGGAAGCUCAAAAGCAACUGCUGUUGACCUGUUUAAACUCAGACUACAUAGAAAGAACUCUCAACAAUGGAGGUAUCUCAACUUCUUGCCCUCUUGGUUGCCUUUGUGGUCUUCUUGGCCCAGCCCCCUAGUGUGGCUGCCUACUACUUUGGAGUUGGAGAUGGUUUGGCAAUAGUCUUGUUCAUAGCGCUCGGAGUGGUUGGAGUGUGUGCAUUACUUGGAUUCAUCGCACGACGAAGGGCAACAAGCUAGAGACUGUCUCAAACUGUUUCUGUAAAAACUGUGCAGAUUUUGUGUCCUUGUUUUAAAACAGUGGAUUGUGUUUUUGUCCGUGUACAGUUGUGUACAGUAGCUUUAGCAUCAAUUGUGCACUUUUGCUACUAUUUUUAAUUGACCUACAUGUAUAAUAAUUAUAUUGAA